rnacentral:lncRNA from 1 species
UUUCUUUCUUCUUAGCAGCAUGGAAGUUCCCAGUCUAGGGGUCAAAUCAGAGCUUGCAGCGGUUGGCCUACACCACAGCCAUGGCAACGCUGGAUCCGAGCCACCUCUGCUACCUAUGCUGCAGCUUGAGGCAGUGCCGGAUCCUUAACCCAGAGUCAGUCCAGAGAUCAAACCCACAUCCUCAAGGAUGGGUUCUUAAUAACCCUCUAAGUCACAUCACGAACCCCUGAAAUAAUUUAUAUUUUCUUACUGCCACUGCAGUGUUGGGUUCUUAACCCUCUAAGUCACAUCGUGAACCCCUGAAAUAAUUUAUAUUUUCUUACUGCCACUGCUUUCUGUGGUCCUCCCAACAUCUGGGGGGCUCUUUUAUGAGGUGAGUGUUUUGGGGGGCGGUGUCCUGGGAACCUAGCCAUCCUCUAGGAUACAUGAUGCUCUGUAGGGCAGGAAGGAGAGUGACGUUAGCGACUCCUGGGAAGCUCUUUGUAGUUAAAAAGGAAGACGGUGUCAAGAGGAAUUCUUGUGCUUCUAGCCACAGCUUCCUGGCUUAUGAUCUACUCCGGCAAGAAUUAAUUUUAAAAAAUGAUGGAUAAAUAAAUAUAAUAUAUCCAUACAGUGGCAGGUUCUUUGACUACAAUAAGGAAUGAAGGACUGGCUCAUGGUACAAUGUGGGGAGGGGGACGAGCCUUAAAAACUUUAUGCUAAGAAGGCAAACCUCAAAGAUCACAUAGAGUGUGAAUUCACUUUAUAGGGAAUAUCCAGAAGAGGCAAAUCUAUGGAGACAGAGAAUAGAGACAGUGGUUGCUUAGGGCUGGAGAAAACAGGUAACAGGUUCAGGCUUAUUUUGUGUGGGGGGGGGGUCAAGUGUGCUCUGCCACUAAAAACCACUAUAUUGCUUACUUUAAAUGGGUGAAUUGUAUGGCAUCUGAGUUAUAUCUCAAUAAAGCUGUUUAAAAAAAAAAAAAAAACAGAAUCAAGCAAAGCAAUUGAGGGAAUAUUUCUCUUUUUCCUGUGCUCCAGAGAGAGCUUUCUCCACUCCCCUGGCUUGAUGCUGGGCUGAUAAUCCCAUAAAUAUACUGGGAUGUUUAUAACACAGGGAUUUGUAAUUUAGACAAUACUAGUAUACAUCUCUUAAGAGAAAGCAUCUUUUGUAAAUUAUUACCCAAUAAAGCUAUCAUCGAGCAGUGUUCAUUCAUUCCUUCAUUGAUUCACUCAUUCGCUUCUCCGACAAACUUUUCCAGCCCACCCAUUCCGCACCAGAUAGCCAAGUUCCCAGCAGGAAGCCAUGUUCAGAGGAGGAAGCAGAUCCUAACAGGGCACCAGGCAAUCAAGUUCACAUCUGGGAGCCAGGUUAUCACCAGGGAAUCAGGUUCACACCAGCGAAUGAGAGUCUCACCAAGGAGCCAAGUUCACCGUAGGGAGCCAGGUUCAGAAAAGACCUUGGAGGAGUUCCCGUUGUGGCUCAGGGGUUAACAAAUCCGACUAGGAACCAUGGGGUUACAGGUUCGAUCCCUGGCCUUGCUCAGUGGGUUAAGGAUCCAGCGUUGCCGUGGGCUGUGGUGUAGGUCGCAGAUGCAGCUCAGAUCCCGCGUUGUGGUGGCUGGUGGCUACAGCUCCGAUUAGACCCCUAGCCUGGGAACCUCCAUAUGCUGUGGCAGCGGCCCUAGAAGAGGCAGAAAAAACAAGAAAGAAAGAAAGAAAAGACCUUGGAUGCGCUCACAGCUCUUCAGGGCCCUACAUCACAUCCCAACCUGCAUCUCACAGAACUAACCCAAAAUAAUACUGAAUGGUCCUUCCCCCCCGCCCCCAAAUGUUUGCUCGGGAGUUCUCUUGUGGCGCAGUGGGUUAAGAAUCCAGUGGUGUCACUGCAGCAGCCUGGGUCCCUGGCCCAGGAUCGUCCACCUGCUGCAGGUGCGGCCAAAAUUUUUUUAAAUUAAAAGUAAAUAAGUAAAUGAAUGAUGUUUGCUCUUUGGCAACAGAUUAUUUUUUUAAGAGGAAAGCAAACAAACAUCCAAGCAUCUGAGGUUAUCAACUAAAUCAAUCAGGGGACUUUAUGAAAAGAUUUCCAGCCCAGCUUCAAAGAGGGAAUUCACCUGGUGCAUUUCAAUGUUUGUUUAUAGAAUACUCGGUCCCAGGCAGGACAGCUCGAAGACAAAGAAGCUUAGCACUGAAAUGUUCCAGGCCACCACCCAUCUGAGCCCUCUGAGAGAUGAAGAGACGGUGUUCCUGAAAAGGUGAUUUAAGUGAGGGGCAGUGCCCCAAAUCCUACUGGGGGUCUCCUCUGUGCUAGAUGUGCGCUGGCACCAAGGUGGGGCUGGGGUCACCCACGAUGGAGACCUAGGCUCUGCCUUGGAGGAUCAGAGUUUGCAGGGAGAAGACACAUCAAGGGGCAAAAAGAUGCUGGUCGCACAACAUUGGAUUUUUGCGUGUAACAUUCUAAGGGUGGGGUCUGGGUAUUUCUUUUUAUUUUUUUCAAUUAAAAAAUUUACCAGGGGGGCUCUGUUCCCAUUGUGGCACAGCAGGAACAAAUCCAACUAGUAUCCAUGAGGGUGCAGGUUCGAUCCGUGGCCUUGCUCAGUGGGUUAGGGAUCCGGCAUUGCCGUGAGCUGUGGUGUAGGCCAGCAGCUGUAGCUCUGAUUCGACCCCUAGCCUGAGAACUUACAUAUGCCGAGAGUGCGGCCCUAGAAGAGCAAAAAAUCAUGGGGAUUAAAUGAACCAGUGCUUUUUAGGCUGCACCUGAGGCAUAUGGAAAUUUCCAGGCUAGGGGUCAUAGCCACAGCCACAGCCACGUCAGAUCCGAGCUGCAUCUGUAGCCUACACCAUAGCUCACUGGCAAUGCUGGGUCCUUAACCCACUGAGCAGGGCCAGGGAUCAAAUCUUUGUCCUCAUGGAUGCUACUCAGGUUUGAUACCGUUGGCUGAGCCGCAAUGGGAACUCAUCCGGGUAUUUCUGCAGGCACCUCUGUUUCAUUUCUUUUCAAGGAUUUUACUAAUAGACCAGCUUCUUGGAUAGAACUUCUGAUUUGAUUAUACGAGGCUCAGACACAUUGUCUCAAUAUGGAAAAUGACUCCAAAUGCGAGCCAAGAACAUGGGGGUCAGGUGCUGUGCCUUUAAACUUGGCAAAAUCCUACCAUAAAAAUCAACGGGGUUGUGUUGGCACUGGAGUCCCCCCUCUGCUUAAUGUUAAUUAUUAUGCUCUUGCUUUCUGGGUCCUGAAUUAUUCAUGAGGCCAGAUAAAAAAUGCAAGGGUGAUUGGCAGUCUCCAGCUGUGGCAUCUGAAUGUGCAGAUGUGGCAUCUGUUUCCAGGGAGCAUGGACUGGAGUAAGGAAUCGGGGGUUCUCAGGGUUUGGGGGGAGCAGGAGGUGGCGGGGAGGGGAAGAGGGAGGCCAGAGAAGUGAGGCCAGUGGGAGAAAGGUAAAGGGAUGCUGCUUUCAGAGAAGGUGGUUGUGAGCUGAACAAAGAGGGGGGCUAACGUGUGGGGAGCAAGAGAAUGGACCCAACUGGAAGGAAGUGCUGGAGGAAGGUGCAAUGAAUGAAGGAAUGAAGGAAUGAAUGCAUUCCACCCUUGAAGGGAGGAGGGGAGGAAGUCGGCUUUGGCGUGGUGCUGCCUUCUAGACAUUUUAUUUACCAUGCGGUGAGGCUAGGAGGAUGUGGACACACACCGGUUCAUUUAAUCCCCACGACUCUCUGAUGUGGGUGUUAGUACGGCUGCUUUGCAGUGCUGGAAGCUGAGGCCAGGGCCGUCGCUUGGCUAGUCGGGGGACUUCAGGUCCAUAUCCACGGGCCAGAUGCUGAUUUAGGGGACAGCGGGCAUCCCUGUGAGCAUCAGGUGCUGUUUGGGAGGGGCCUCGGGAGGAGGAAGAGCUGGGCAGGGGGCCCGGGUCUGAUGGGGACCUGAUGGCCACUUCUGGUCCCCUCCAUCUAAAGCACCCCGGCUGCUCUUGGCCGGGCCUGGCAUAGAAAAGGCACCUCCUGAGUGUAAAUGGUCAGCCUCUCCUGGAGGGCAGCUUGGCACGCUCCAUAGAAAUGCCAAACGCCUAACACCUUCGCCUGGCCAGCCCUCGGGGAGUACUGCGCAUGAAGAAAAUGACUCGCAUAUUGUGGCGAUGGUUGUUACAGCAAGAAAACAAAAAUGAUCCAAGCGUCCACCAAGCUGCGAUGAAACACAGGGCUCUGUACAGAGCGGCCGCGGUCAGAAGUCAGGAUGUCGAUUCCUGAUCUGCCACUUACUUGUCUGGGUGAUCUGAGCCUGGGCCUCACCUUUCCCUGCCUCGCUUUUCUCAUCUGUAAAGUGGGGAUGCUACCACUACUCAUAGGGUUCUCCCAGGAUUCCAGGAAUUGAGAUGGGUCAAGAGCUUAGAACAUGACUGGCAGAGAGUCAGGAGUUAACAAACCUUGGUAAUUAACAGUACUCCAUAAAUAUGCACUCAUCAGUAAGACUCUCUCUUACCACCGCCCCCUGCCACAGCCCUCUGAGACUCGAGCCUUUCUCUCUCUGCCCAGGUGGCCAUCUAGCGGGUUCUGGUUCUAAGGAACAGCGGACCUCAUGGAGCUUAGGGGCUGGGACUGUGUGCAAUGCUAAAACCAGAAAGGGAAAAGAGUUUCCAACAGAGUAUAUAUAGCUCUGAGCAGCCAGCAGAGGCUUCAGUGGGAGCUGGAUAUGCAUGAACCUGCUCUGGCUCCCAGGGUUAAAGGGACACUGGCCAUAGCCUUUGGUCUCAGCCAGCAUCAGCCAGGAAAGGUGAGGAGAUAGAGAGAUUUGUGUUCCCUGCCCCUCAAGGAGCAGGGAGAAGGAAUUUCCAUAGCCCUGGUCACUGAUGUGCUUCAAAAACAGCCUCUCUAACGUCAUCGGAGCAGAUUUUUUCUAAUUUUUUCCAUUUAUUUAUCAAGAAUUUUUAGUGAUCCCACCACAUGUCAGGCAGCAUUACAAGAAUACUGGGCACAUAGAGGCAAAUAAAACUUCCUGUCUUUUAAGAACGUGGGGUCAAGGAUCAGAUGAGAAAAUAAAUAACUAUAGGGCAAUCACAAGCUCCAGAGAGAACUUCAUCUACUUUAUCACUGAUUCCUGGCUUCUAUAAAAGUGCUUAGGACAUGGUAAGCUCAAAUGAAUAUUUAUGGCACAAAUAUGCACAACAAUAUAGUCUGUACAAGGCACUGAAUUUGUACACACCGCCUCUGUUUUUAGAGGCAAGAAAGAUAGAAGAUAGAAAAGUGACCUAUGACUAGGGUUUUGGAGGAUGAGUAGGAGUUUGCUAGGUUGACAAGAACUCGCAGUUGAAGGUAUCUAUGACAAAGCCAUGUGGACAGAGAAUACUGCCUGCUAUUUCACUAGCCAAAGGGUGUUGCAGCCAUAAAGCCAUCAGCCACUGCAGCCACCCUGUAACGGUGCACCCUGAGGGGACUGAGGAUGGAGGAAAAACAGGAUAUUGGCCCUAGAGAGCUAAGGCGUCUAUCAAAGGAAUAGCUGCAAUGAGUCCAGACUCUUGCAUCUUCCCAUACAGAGAAAAGGGCUAAAGCCAUUAACCUGAGAUGUCUUGUGUGGGUGUGAGUGUGUGGGGGGGUGAUUAGCAGUAAUUUUUUGAUGUUCAAAUACAUGAAUUUUUUUUUUUCAACAAAAACUCCUCUAUAUGCCGGCUCCCCCGUUACCUCUUUGGAAGGGUUUCUACAAAUCAACUAAGGGGUUGGAUUCCGGGCUAUAGUGCUCAGUCAUGUCUUGACUAAAACAUGAGUCUUAACUUUUAAGUUGGGCAUCUUUUUCAGUCGACAGCUGCAAUGAUCAAUUUUGAGGUCCGUGGAAAACAGUGGGGCACACAGCCUCACAUCAACACAAGCAGAAGAAAGCAGGGCGGAGAGGUUAUGAACGGCUUCCUCCCCGCAAUCCCGGGUCACUCUGGUCAUCUUCUUCAUAACUCUUAUCACAAUGAUACAUAAUCUACUUAUUGGUUUACCCGUUGUCUGAGUCCCUGACUCUCUGGCUCCUAAAACAGUGUCUGGCUCAAGGUCCCUGCUCAAUAAAUCUCCACAGAUAGGAUAUUAAUAAAUGAAGGGAAAGAAAUAAAAAAGAGCAGGCCCUGGGCAAGGUCUCUCUCCCUGUUUGGGCCAGUCUGGGGCAGCACUGUCCAACAGAAAUAGGCAGGGAGGCUCUGCGGUAAUUCCAAAUUUUCUGGAAGCCACGCUUUAACAAAGUAAAAAAAUCCGGAGUUCCCACUGCGGCAUAGUGGGUAAAGAAUCUGACUACAGUGGCUCGGGUUGCGGUGGAGGUGUGGGUUAGAUCUCCAGCCCAGCGCAGCGGGUUACGGAUUUGGCAUUGCUGCGGCUGUGGUGUAGGUUGCAGCUGCAGCUCGGAUUCCGUCCCUGGCCUGGGAACUGCCAUAUG